rnacentral:tRNA from 1 species
GCCGCCAUCGUCUAGCCUGGCUUAGGACGCCGCCCUCUCAAGGCGGAGAUCAGGGGUUCAAAUCCCCUUGGCGGCA